rnacentral:rRNA from 1 species
UACGGAGGAUGCGAGCGUUAUCCGGAUUUAUUGGGUUUAAAGGGUGCGUAGGCGGAACAAUAAGUCAGUGGUGAAAGACUGCAGCUUAACUGUAGACUUGCCGUUGAUACUGUUGAUCUUGAGUAUGGUCAAGGCAGGCGGAAUGUGUAAUGUAGCGGUGAAAUGCUUAGAUAUUACACAGAACACCGAUUGCGAAGGCAGCUUGCUGGGCCAUUACUGACGCUGAUGCACGAAAGCGUGGGGAUCGAACA